CGGCGGGCCUAACUAUGAGGCUUGAGCUUGUGGUGAAAAUCCACUAAGCUUAAUUAUGUUAAAUAGAUUAAACCAAAAUAGAGGGCCUCAAUAAAUUCAGCUAUAUGCUGGAAUAGCAUGAUGAAAUCAUGAUAGGAAGUUAUCGUCGUGAGAUGAUAAUGAUUACUGAAAAUUUAUGAUGAAGUGCCAAUCAGCAGGAAAGACUUCUUAAGAUUUAAGAAGAAUCCUCAGAGACUAUACGCUGAACACAGAUUAGAAGUAAUUUGUGAUGAUAUAGUCCAACAAAUAAUUUUAUUUGUGC
rnacentral:ncRNA from 1 species